AAAACCGAUCAGAACAGGGCGGGAUGGAGACGUUUCCCCCCUAUAGUUAGUUACCAUUUUCAAUCACAACUAUGCUGCUACCCAAGCAGGUAAUUCAGGAGAGUAGUCCUAGGAGUCCUUGAAAGUGUCACUAGGGUUUAAUCCUAAAAUAAGAAAAGAGUGGAGAGGGGAAGGGUAGCUAGUAUUUUAAUUUAUAAAUCUGUUUUGCAUAGUAUUUCCAAAGUAACAAGCCACUGAGCGAGCCGAAAAUUGGCACAGGUGAGGGUCGCUAGCAGGGAUGACGGCUCUAGCAGAGGAUGCCCGCAGUUUUCCCAUUAGAGUUUGCUCUGUCAGCCUACAUCUCAAAGAGGAUGUCCAAGACUCCCAUCCACCUCCGACCCAGAAAAGCUGACAAGGUAUCAAGGUCAAUAAAUUAGUGAGGUUAAACAGACGCCCAAACAAAUUAGACAGUGCACCUCAAAGGAUGUUUGGAGUUGUCAUCUCCUAGUUCUGGCUUUUAGUCUCAUAGUGUUUCUAGGUGACAAUUAUUUCCCGUGAUCAAGCCGAAUAUUGAAAACACAGGAGAGCAGCCCUGGCUUCCCCAUGAAGGAACCCUCCUGAGCCAUUUGUCCUGUGUCCUAGUUCUCUCCCCAUAAUGACGUCAGUAAUAUCGCUCCAUCACAGCAGUCCUCCGCUCCUCAUUCUUUUCAUCGUCUUUCUCUUCAGGCAUGAGAGCGUACAAGCACACUAACAACACUGUUUGUCCUCCGCUCAGUCCACAGCACUCUCAGCCUUCCCUCUAGGGGACAUUUCAAAGUGUCGGUCCAAGGGGCAGCCACUGUGGAAAACGACAUAGGCUUGGUGCUUUAGGCAUUUUAAGGUCAGGUGACUGACCCGUGGAUUCCACUUCUGGAAUUGCAACAGGAGCAUGAAGAAAUAUUCCAACAUUGCUGCACAGCGCAGUGAGACUGUCCACUGAUCGGUGGCCAGACGGAGAAAUGUACAUAUGCAAAGCAGUGCAUUUCAUCUUUAAUAGGGAGGGCAAUUCCCACACGGCCACCUCUCCAGCCUAGUCAUGGAUUUUUUUAUUUUUUAUUUUUUUUUAUCAUCUGAAAUCUUUGUGGGACUAGAGAUAUAGCUUAACGGUAGAUUGCUAGUUUAGCUCUUGCAAGGCCCGGGGUUAUAUCAUCAGCAAGAAAAAAAGAAAGAGAAAGAAAGAAAAAGAAAAAGAAAAAGAAAAAGAAUCACAGAUCAAAAACCUUCCAGGUGUCAUGAGUUCACUCUCGAGAUGUGUGGUGCUGAGGCUGCUGAAAUGUGUAUCUAUGGUUACCGGUUAUUCAUCUGGAACCAGAAGACAAAGCUUAGGGCCAGCCCAUCCCAGGACAGCUCACAGAGGCCAGCCUUCACUUGGGAGGUCACUUCUUAAAACCAGGUUUUUGUUUGCUUAUUUUGCUUUUAGGUUUUCCCUUUUAAUAACAUGGAAAGAGAAGACACC
rnacentral:lncRNA from 1 species